rnacentral:rRNA from 1 species
GAUUAGUGGCGAACGGGUGAGUAACACGUGAGUAACCUGCCCCUGACUCUGGGAUAAGCCCGGGAAACUGGGUCUAAUACUGGAUAUGACCUUUGACCGCAUGGUUUUUGGUGGAAAGAUUUAUCGGUUGGGGAUGGACUCGCGGCCUAUCAGCUUGUUGGUGAGGUAAUGGCUCACCAAGGCGACGACGGGUAGCCGGCCUGAGAGGGUGACCGGCCACACUGGGACUGAGACACGGCCCAGACUCCUACGGGAGGCAGCAGUGGGGAAUAUUGCACAAUGGGCGAAAGCCUGAUGCAGCGACGCCGCGUGAGGGAUGACGGCCUUCGGGUUGUAAACCUCUUUCAGUAGGGAAGAAGCGAAAGUGACGGUACCUGCAGAAGAAGCGCCGGCUAACUACGUGCCAGCAGCCGCGGUAAUACGUAGGGCGCAAGCGUUAUCCGGAUUUAUUGGGCGUAAAGAGCUCGUAGGCGGUUUGUCGCGUCUGCCGUGAAAGUCCGAGGCUCAACCUCGGAUCUGCGGUGGGUACGGGCAGACUAGAGUGAUGUAAGGGAGACUGGAAUUCCUGGUGUAGCGGUGAAAUGCGCAAAUAUCAAGAGGAACACCGA